rnacentral:rRNA from 1 species
GACGAACGCUGGCGGCGUGCUUAACACAUGCAAGUCGAACGGAAAGGCCCUGCUUUUGUGGGGUGCUCGAGUGGCGAACGGGUGAGUAACACGUGAGUAACCUGCCCUUGACUUUGGGAUAACUUCAGGAAACUGGGGCUAAUACCGGAUAGGAGCUCCUGCUGCAUGGUGGGGGUUGGAAAGUUUCGGCGGUUGGGGAUGGACUCGCGGCUUAUCGGCUUGUUGGUGGGGUAGUGGCUUACCAAGGCUUUGACGGGUAGCCGGCCUGAGAGGGUGACCGGCCACAUGGGGACUGAGAUACGGACCAGACUCCUACGGGAGGCAGCAGUGGGGAGUAUUGCACAAUGGGCGGAAGCCUGAUGCAGCAACGCCGCGUGCGGGAUGACGGCCUUCGGGUUGUAAACCGCUUUCGCCUGUGACGAAGCGUGAGUGACGGUAAUGGGUAAAGAAGCACCGGCUAACUACGUG